rnacentral:rRNA from 1 species
UACAGAGGUCUCAAGCGUUGUUCGGAUUCAUUGGGCGUAAAGGGUGCGUAGGUGGCAUGGUAAGUCGGAUGUGAAAUCCCGGGGCUCAACCCCCGGAACUGCAUUCGAUACUGCUGAGCUAGAGUACUGGAGAGGAGAUUGGAAUUUACGGUGUAGCAGUGAAAUGCGUAGAUAUCGUAAGGAAGACCAGUGGCGAAGGCGGAUCUCUGGACAGUUACUGACACUGAGGCACGAAGGCCAGGGGAGCAAACGGGG